CAUAAUGUUCGGCAACUAAUAUACGAUAUCAUCAGACAAGUUUUACGGUUUCCCGAGUAAGAAUCUUGAUUCGAUCUUCACUUGAGUCUAGAGUGAUCCGCGAGAAACAAUAGAUUAAAAAUGGCCGACCUUAAGGAUGAUGAAAUCGAGCGCGCUGAAUUCGUCUUCUCAAUCUACGAUUGUGAUGGCAAGAAGAACAUCGAUGCCUUUGACAUCGGAAAUGCAUUGCGUGCAUUGAAUCUUAACCCCACCUUGCAAUUGAUCGAAAAGAUGGGCGGCACCACAAAACGCGGACAAAAGAAGUUGAAGUUCGAAGAAUUCCUUCCCAUCUUUUCUCAAGUCAAAAAAGAAAAGGACCAAGGUUGUUACGAAGAUUUCCUCGAGUGUCUCAAAUUGUACGACAAAGCCGAAAACGGAACUAUGCUCUUGGCUGAAUUGCAACAUUGCUUGCUUGCUCUCGGUGAGAAAUUGACCGAUGAAGAAGUUGAAAUCAUCUUCAAAGAAUGCAUGGACCCCGAAGAUGAGGAUGGUUACAUCUUGUAUGGACCUUUCCUCAAGAAAAUGAUGGACAACAAAGUCAACAUCGAACUCAGAAGAUUCUAAAUCGACUGAAGUUCACUUUUAAAAAAAUCAUAAAUAUUUGUAAAAACACCACAAAUGUUAUUGUAAUAUCUUUGUCCAUUGCUUAAACGUAUGUGUGGCUUGGAGCCACCACUUAUGAGCUUAUAAGUCAACAAGCAAGCCGAUAAUAUUUACACACACAUUAAAAAAAUAUAAAAAAGAGAUUGUAUGAGUAACAUCGCUCAAGUCAAGACAACAUCAAGCAAAAAUUAUCAUCCAACAUCCAAAAAAAUUGCUUAAAAAUCUAUUAAACUAUUUUAUUGAUGACAAAUUUUUUUAAUAUGAAACAUCUUUUUGUAAAAAAAAAAUAAUAAUGAAGAACAUCACACAACUUGAUCAUCGAACAAGAAAAAAAAAUCAACAGCAUUAGAAAUUAAACAACAACAGCAACAACAACAACAUCAAAAAAAAUUUAAAUAACAACAAUAUGACGAAACCUAGCAAUAUGUAAUAAUUAAUUCUAUAAUAAAAUAUUUAUUUAUUUAUUUGUUAUAAAAUAUAAAACAACGCGUGCGUAACAACGGUGUCUUUUUUAGAGAGAGACGAGGAAACAAGAAGAAAAUUUGUUUUUAAUUGUUUAAAAAUAUAAAAUUAUCUGAGCACAGCAGCGCCUUUCCUUAUUUAAAAAAAAAAAUAUUAAACAUCAUUUUUUUUUGUUUGCUCUGUAUACUUUUAUUAUUUUUAUUUAUAUUUAUUUUGUUUUAUAUAAAAAGAAACACAAUUAAAUACAAGUAAUCACGAUUUUUUUCUUA